CUCUGUCACCUCCGCUGGAAGGAGUGGAACCCAGACUUGCUGGUCUGAGCCAUGUACAAGGCGGGGCUGCUAGGCCACUGUGCCCGGGCAUGGAAGUCGGUGCCGAUGGCCAGCUCCAGGAUGACCCCCCGGAACCUGCUCGCUAAUAAGGUGGCCCUGGUAACGGCCUCCACCGACGGGAUCCGCUUUGCCAUCGCGGGCAUCUGGCCCAACACGGGCUCCACGUGGUUGUCAGCAGUCAGAAGCAGCAGAACUCGGCAGCCACCCUGCAGGGGGAGGGGCUCAGCGUGACGGGCACUAUGUGCCAUGUGGGGAAGGCAGAGGACUGGGAGCGGCUGGUGGACACGGCUGUGAAGCUUCAUGGCAGUAUCGAUAUCCUAGUCUCCAAUGCUGCUGCCAGCACUUCCUUUGGAAGCCUAAUGGAUAUCACCGAGGAGAUAUGGGACAAGACUCUGGACAUUAAUGUGAAGGCCCCAGCCCUGAUGACAAAGGCAGUGGUGCCAGAAAUGGAGAAACGAGGAGGCGGCUCACUGGUGAUCGUGGCCUCCAUAGCAGCCUUCAGUCCAUCUCCUGGCUUCCUUCCUUACAAUGUCAGUAAAACAGCUUUGCUGGGCCUCACCAAGACCCUGGCCAUAGAACUGGCCCCAAGGAACAUUAGGGUGAACUGCCUAGCACCUGGACUUAUCAAGACCAGCUUCAGCAGGAUGCUCUGGAUGGACAAGGAAAAAGAGGAAAGAAUGAAAGAAACCCUGCAGAUAAGAAGGUUAGGCGAGUCAGAGGAUUAUGCUGGCAUCUUGUCUUUCCUGUGCUUUGAAUAUGCCAGCUACAUCACUGGGGAGACCGUAGUGGUGGGUGGAGGAACCCCGUCCCGCCUCUGAGGACCUGGAGACAGCCCAUGGGGCAGUGUUGGGCUCUAGCUCCUGGUGCUGUUCCUGCAUUCAUCCACUGGCCUUUCCCACCUCUCCUCACCUUACUGUUCACCUCAUAAAAUCAGUUCUGCCCUGUGAAAAGAUGCAGCCUUCCCUGCAGUCAAGGUGGCGUCUUACUCGGGAUUCCUGCUGUUGUUGUGGCCUUGGGUAAAGGCCUCCCCUGAGAACACAGGACAGGUCUGCUGACAAGGCUGAGCCUACCUUGGCAAAGACCAACAGAUAUUUUUUGCCCGGGCCACUGGGGAAUUUGAGGGGAGAUGGGAGAGAAGGAAGCUGGAGUGGAAGGAGCAGAGUUGCAAAUUAACAACUUGCAAAUGAGGUGCAAAUAAAAUGCAGAUGAUUGUGCGGCUUUGAAUC